AUUGAACGCUAGCGGGAUGCCUUUCACAUGCAAGUCGAACGGAGUGGCGAACGGGUGAGUAAUGUCGCGGAACGUGCCCAGUAGCGGGGGAUAACUACGCGAAAGCGUCGCCAAUACCGCAUACUAUCGGAGGGGCAGUUAACGGAUUAGCUAGUUGGUGGGUUAACGGCGCCCCAAGGCGCAGAUCCGUAGCUGGUUGGAGAGGACGACCAGCCACAGUGGGACUGAGCAACGGCCCAGACUCCUACGGUAGGGAGCAGUGGGGAAUUUUGGACAAUGGGGGAAACCCUGAUCCAGCCAUCCAGCGUGUGAGAUGAAGGCCUUCGGGUUGUAAAGCACUGUUGGCAGGAAAGCGGUACCUGCAGAAUAAGCACCGGCUAACUACGUGCCAGCCGCCGCGGUAAUUC
rnacentral:rRNA from 1 species